GCAGUGGUGGUUCAGUGGUAGAUUUCUCACCUCCCAUGAGGGAGAUCCAGGUUCAAUUCCUGGCCAAUCUA
rnacentral:tRNA from 1 species